rnacentral:misc_RNA from 1 species
CACCCCUCAAGCGCUGUCUCGCUUGGAGUUGGGGCUCUUGCAGCGAGCACUUGGUGCUCUGCAAGCCCUGAAAUUCAGCGGCGGGCCCGUCAGCACACCGAGCGUAGUAAUACUGCUUCCCGCUUAGGGCGUGCGGCGCGGCUCAGUCGACUUAUAAAAUUUCCAAAG